GAAUUCGUUGACUAAAUUGAGCUACAAAUUUUUUCUAUCGAGAUAUCUCAAUUUUUCUGCUUCAAGAAGCGGAAUUCAGAUUCCUGAGAUCAAAGUACGUAAGAAUAGCCUACAAACUCGAAUAGAAAAAAGUAUUGAUUUUUGACCCCAAAAUUGAAAAAACUCUAAGGGGCCAGGCAUUGACUUUGCUGUUUACCUGUGACCUUCGGUGCCCUGUAGCAUCCUGUAGUGCCUGAACGUGACGCCUUCGACCAUGAGUUGUUUAUCUCAUAAAUUACGUCGUUUGGUUUACCCUGUCACCCCUUGCAAGGCCGACUCUGAAUUUAGAAUCACCCUGUAUAGGAUGAAUUCUAAAUCUACAAUGAAUCUGGCUCAAGAUCCAGAACGGGACGAUUUUUAAAUUUCUUGAGGGCCGAAUUCCAAAUACAAUUCACGUAGCAUAGUACAAGUACGGUACAAGUUGAAAUAAUAUCUCAAUGAGCGCAGAUGCUAAUCUUUGAGAAGAGAAGAACGAUUCGAUUGGAUAAUUGUAAGUCGACUUGAAUUCAGAGCUGAAUGGAUUUGAAAUUACAACGUUGUUCCCAGGAAUUGUAUUAAUAGGUUGUAUUAAUGUAAUCACUAAACAUAAAUAAAUAGCGUUCAUAGCUC